rnacentral:rRNA from 1 species
AAAAAGUCUAACCUGCCCACUGAGUAGGGAAAUAGUUAAAGGGCCGCGGUAUUUUGACCGUGCAAAGGUAACAUAAUCAUUAGUCUUUUAAUUGGAGGCUUGUAUGAAUGGUUGGACAAAGAAAAAGCUGUCUUUAUAAUAUUAUUUGAAUUUAACUUUUAAGUGAAAAGGCUUAAAUAGACCUAGGGGACGAUAAGACCCUAUAAAACUUUAUAUAAAAUUAAGUUUGUUUAAAUUUAAUUAUAAAGAGCUAAAUUAAUAGUUGUAUUUUGUUGGGGCGACAUAGAUAUAAAUAAUUAUAGUAACUGUUUAAAUAUAAUACUAUAAAUUUAUGUGUUAAGAUUAAAUGAUCCUUUUUUAAAGAUUAAAAGAUUAAGUUACUUUAGGGAUAACAGCGUAAUUUUUUUUGAGAGCCCAUAUCGAAAAAAAAGUUUGCGACCUCGAUGUUGAAUUAAAAUAUCUAUAUAAUGUAGUUGUUAUAAAAGAAGGUCUGUUCGACCUUUAAAUUUUUACGUGAUCUGAGUUCAG